rnacentral:tRNA from 1 species
CAAAACGUAGUUUAAAAAAAAUAUGUUGUUUGGGACAGUAAGAUGUUUAGUAACCGUUUUGA